UCUCUACAGCGGUUGUUACAGACAGUCCUGAAGUAGCUGGAAUAUAGCCAGCAAGGGCCCAGGUGGAGCAACAAUUCAUCUUGCAUCUGAAUGGAAUAUGAAGAGAGACAACUGAGAUGAUGCCUAAGAAUAAGGACACCCAUUGCUGAGCAAACAUUAGGGACUAGGUCCCAGAAGAGGAGACUUCAUGCCCAUCUCUCCAUCCCCACCACCAAAAAUGACAUUUAAGAGUCCAGAGACAUGAGAAAAAAAUGACAGGUAGCCACGCUGACAAGAGAAAUUAUCUAAGACCUAUCAACCAGCAAAAUGAUUCCUAAAAUUUACAGUGCAGGUAAGAUUCAUGAAGUUUUUUUUUUUAAUGUAUUUUUCUGGACACCGUACUGUGUGCCUAGUUUCAAGAAUGAGAGAAGUGGCCUAGAAUCACACUCUGCGGAGCUCUGCCCUCAUGAAUUCCCUGCUCAUUCUCUGCAUUUGCCUAUAAUGCCCAGAAUAUCUUUUUCCUACCUGGUUUUACCAAUGGGAUUAUACCCACUCUAGGUUUUAGGCUAUUCGCUGAAGCCAUUUUUUUUUUUUUUAAACUCUGGUACUUCCCUUAUCUAAGCUCCUGUAUUAUUUACUCUGAUAUCCAGUUCAGCACUUUGUUAAUGCUCAUUAUUGUCAAAGAUGUUAUUAGUCCUGUGUCCUAACUCACUUGAAUAAAGCUGCUCAACUACAUUAUACUUAUUUUUUUUUAACUAGGCCUAAUACAGUAGAAAGUAUACAAUUAUGACUGAUUUAAAGUCACCUGCAGAACUACUUCGUUUUCUAAGAGAGUGGAACUUAAAUGUUCUCACCAAAAACAAUAAAAAUAUAUGUAAGGUGACGGAAGGAAUCCUUUCACAAUGUAUAUGUAGAGCAAAUUACCACAAUGCACACUUUACAUGUCUUACAACUUACUUUGUCAAUUAUGCCUCAGUAAAGCUGGGGGUGGGGGAGGAAACCUACUUGGAACAAGGCAAGAAUAUAAGGAAUAAAUAAAAGAGCCUAUUAUAUCCAAUGCAGUUUGUGAGCAGUUUCGGGGAAUGGCUAGCUGAGGGGGAAAAAAAAAAAAAAAAUCUGCAGAAAGCUGUUAAAAGUUUAUCACGGACUUUAUGUGGAGUAAUCCAUAGAAAACUUAAGAUUAGUAGAUACUAGGCACUCAAAAAAUGUUUCUGUUCCAUAGAAAUGACCUGGCUUAAGGGCCAUAAUGGGACCUGAGAGGUUUGGGGAGCUUGGUCUAUACAGACCAUGAGUGCUUAAGGCUCCACCACAUUCUAAUCCUUUGUCCUGAUUAGAUAUUCAAGUCCUUAAAACAUACCUCACCCUGGGUCUGCUCUCCUUGCACAUUUUGAAUUUUCAUGCCAAUGACGUCUAACUUCCUUAAAAUUCUGAACCUGCCCUGCCAAACUAACUGUAUAUAACAAUGCAUAUCUAUAGUGCAGAAUAAACAAGAAUAUACUGAAUGUGUCUGCUCUGAAAAAGUACACCAGCUCAAAGAAGUUUAGAAAACAGUCAGUCAGACAACUCUUAAUGAAAGGACUUCUCAGAGUCCCUAAUUCACCAAUACAUACUGGAAAAGUUCUAACAGUAUUGGUACCUAAAAUUAUUUGCCCAUAAAGUACUUUUUCCCCAAGACACACUAAGCAGAGAAAAGCAAUAACCUCUGCACAUAUUGGUUCCAAUUUCUUACUCUUGCUCAUAAGUAUAUUCUUUCUGAACUACCCAUAUAAUCAGGAAAAAAAUGUUAUACACUCACACACAAAUGUGUACAAAUUAGCAGAUGCCAAGUUCAAACCACUAGUAUUCCAAGUCUAAACUGUAAAGGUAGUUCCAUAUCCUCCUAUGGACCU